CGGCGGGACAUGACUCAACGACACAAAGAUGAGUCCCCAACCUUUCGGGGCGACCGAUGAUUUAGCAGUCCAAACACUAGCCCUUCAAAAGCAUAAUCCAACACGGUGCCAGUCUGCCAGAGUUUCUCCAUUGGCUCCAUUGAAGACGACGGUAACUUCCCCACCAUGGCAGAAGAAUAUCCAUGGAAUUUAUUCCUGCUCCCCACUGUGAAAGCUUAAAAAUACAGAGUAAAAAAAUGGAAGAAAACUUUGCCAGAACUCCGAACCAAGCUUGCCAUUGGCCAACCAAUCAAAAUCCCUUUUGGGGUUUAUUCGUAUACCGAUUUCCAACUGCUAAAUCAUUCCACAAUCUUCCUUUAAAUAGCAUCUUCAAUUUUCACCACCAUAACAUUCAAAAGAAAGCUUCAAAUUGGUGUUGUGUGUGUAAUAUUCUGUAAAUGGCGAGCCCUCUGACGCCAUCCCACGUUGUCAUCGCCUAUGACGCCACCAAGGACCGCGGCGUGCAUGAGCUUACACUCGCAGUUGACAGUCUCCAGAAGAGGGGUGACGUUUUGCAUUCAGGGGAUACCAUCAUUAUGCUUGGAGUUUUGCACAAGGUAGUCCACCCCAUGGGCUUUCACAUAAAACCAUGCGCAGAUUUUUUGGAAACCAGCAUUCGUGCAGUGGAGGAAGAAGUUACAAAGAAAGUUGACAUGUAUGUUAGCAUGCUUCUUGAAAGUGCGAGAAAGUGUGAAGAUCAAGGGGUCAGCAUUGAAGUCAAAGUUACUGCUGGUUUUCCCGUUAAGCAGGUUAUUUUGCAAGAGAUUAUGGCCUGCAAUGCAGCUUGGGUUAUACUUGAUAGGCACCUUAGACGGGAUAUGAGGUUCUACCUUAAGAAGAUACCAUGCAAGGUUGCAAUAAUACAAGAUAGUUUGGCUGUGGAUGUUGUAAGACCUCAUACAACGGAUGACACUGAUACCAUGGAACACAAAUUGUUUUUUUCAUUGUCCAAGCCUGUUCCACUAUCCAAUUAUCAAUCUAACAGAAACAAUGAACAGCCACUCAGUGAUUCACCUGAAAGUUCUGAUAUUCAGAAAACCUAUUUGACUUCACCUACAGUUAAGUUACGAGACUAUGGUUCUUUAUUGAAUCUAGGGUCUUCCCCUACUCAAGAAAAUUCAGGUGUAAAAACCAAAGCAGACGAUAAACACUCCAUAGUUCCUCAAAAAAUCCAGAAGCAAAAUAACGCCUUCCGAGGAAGAUGCUCAGAUGCCCCAAUUCUGUGUUCCAUAUGUGGAACACGGACUGAAAUGUAUGUCAAGAAUUCUAUGACAUUCAGCUACUCAGAGAUACAGCUUGCAACAAAUGAUUUUUCCAAGGAAAAUUUAUUGGGAGAAGGCGGAUAUGGUCAUGUGUAUAAAGGUGAGUUUAAGGACGGACAGCAGAUUGCAGCAAAGGUGCAGAAAGAAGCAAGUACACAAGAAUUUACAGAAUUUCACUCUGAGGUCUAUGUCUUGAGUUUUGCACGCCAUAAGAACAUUGUCAUGCUGUUGGGUUAUUGUUGCAAGGAGAACCUAAAUAUAUUGGUUUAUGAAUAUAUUUGCCACAAGUCUCUUGAAUGGCACUUAUUUGAUGAAAAGGCAGCAGUUCUUGAGUGGCACCAAAGACAGGAAAUCGCCAUUGGAACUGCGAAGGGAUUGCGUUUCCUCCACGAAGAAUGUCGUGGAAGUCCUAUAAUUCACCGAGACACGCGACCAAGCAAUAUACUGCUAACACAUGAUUACGUUCCAAUGUUAGGUGAUUUUGGCUUCGCCAAAUGGAAGACGGCGAGUAAUGACACUGACCAGACAAGGAUAAUUGGCACACUAGGCUACCUUGCUCCAGAGUAUGCAGAGAACGGUAUUGUUUCUGUACGGACAGAUGUAUAUGCCUUUGGCAUGGUUCUGUUACAACUCGUAACUGGCCGCAAGAUUGUUGAUUCAAACGGAGAAGGGCAAGCUCAAUCCCUACGGGAGUGGGUAUGUUGGGCUUCAAGAUGUGUUUUUACAUCUUAUUUUAUACUCACUGGCAGAACCAAUAAUCCAGAGGCUGGCACUACAUGAACUCAUUGAUCGUCGUCUAGGAGAUUCAUAUGACACAUAUGAAGUGUACCUCAUGGCUAAAGCCGCAUUCUUAUGUGUACAAAGAAAUCCUGAAAUGCGUCCAUCAAUGCAAGAGGUUGUCCGCGUUCUUGAAGGUGAAAAUGACAAUUACCACCACCUAGGAGAGCACUUUGCACCUCAAUAUCUCACAAAGUGAAGGAUCCAGCGGCACAGUUUAUUUUCAUUUCGAAGAUGUUCGCAGUAGCUUCUUGAAGGGAAAAAUUACCAUUUCUGCAUCCUAGGAUAGCAAUUCUACCUCGACGAAGACAAUGGCACACUAAACUUUCGUUUGACGGCUGAGGUUAUUGUUUUUUUCUUGUUUUUCUUGAAGGUGGCUCUAGCUUCUCUGGUUUUGCGUGGUUUCGAUCAAAGGAGGCAUUAAUUAUAAGGCUCUGAAAACUUGAACGUACAUAGAGUGAAGUUUGUCUAUUGAUGCCUUAAAAAUAAGAUCCUUUUCAUCUAAGAAAUGGAUCAUCAGUAUUACUCUCCACUAGUUUUGUAAAAACAACUACAUAUAUGUAAUCUGAAUUUCUAUGUCCCAGACUUUGUGGUUGUUGCAUA